rnacentral:rRNA from 1 species
UACGUAGGGUGCGAGCGUUAAUCGGAAUUACUGGGCGUAAAGCGUGCGCAGGCGGUGAUGUAAGACCGAUGUGAAAUCCCCGGGCUUAACCUGGGAACUGCAUUGGUGACUGCAUUGCUGGAGUAUGGCAGAGGGGGAUGGUAUUCCGCGUGUAGCAGUGAAAUGCGUAGAUAUGCGGAGGAACACCGAUGGCGAAGGCAAUCCCCUGGGCCUGCACUGACGCUCAUGCACGAAAGCGUGGGGAGCAAACAGG